rnacentral:tRNA from 1 species
GCCUGGCUGGCUCAGUUGGCAGAGCACGCAACUCUUGAUCCCAGGGCUAUAGGUUCAAGUCCCAUGUCAGGUA